ACAAAUCAGGUACUACACCACAAUUUUUACAGUGUAGAUGAUAGACAGAAGAUCACAAGUUUUAAAUAUAUUACAGAAAAGGCUCUUAAAAAAGUCAACACAGAUUAACAAUGGGUGGGUAUACAGUGUUGUGCAUUUAACCACACAUGGCAAUCUCAAAAAUUAAAAUGUAUUGAUUUGUUUAAUAAGCGAUUGUUGUUUUGUGUCAUUAAUUUAGAACAAUAAGAAGAUAACAAUUCAAAACAGCUCAUUACAAGUUGGUUCAAAUCAGAUUUAGUCAGAUAGAAAAAAUAAAGAAAAAGAUCUUUAAACUUAUCAUCAAAUCUCUCUGUUUAAGUUCAAGCUAUAAGAAAGGCAAGAAGAUGGCUAUGUCCUCAUUCCUUAUUGUUGCAAUUGUUUUCGCGGGAGCAUCCGUUAUAAUAGUUAUUCUUUGCAAUUUCUGCAAUUAGUCUAUGGAGCUAACGCCAGGAGGACAGGUUUGAAAGUCUCUUAUGGUGAUUAAAUUCCUAUUCCUGUAAGCGCGUCUCGCAUGCUUGCCAAUUUUGGUGGAGUUAGUGCAAAGAAAAAGCAGUAGAAGAUGCCGUAUCCCAAUGUAAUUUCAAGAUUAAAUACUUUUUACAAUGGAUGAUUGGCUAAUAAAUGUUUUGUAAU